rnacentral:misc_RNA from 1 species
UCUCCGUUGGUGAACCAGCGGAGGGAUCAUUACAGGACUCGCAAGACUCCUUCACCCUGUGAACCUCACUACAAGCACGUUGCUUCGGCGGGUGUCCCGGCGGGGGUUUUCCCUCGCCGGGGCGCACAGCCCGCCGGCAGCCUACUAUACUCUGUCUCUUUGCGUUGGCAUCUCGAGAAAAAACAAACAAGUUAAAACUUUCAACAACGGAUCUCUUGGUUCUGGCAUCGAUAAAGAACGCAGC